rnacentral:snoRNA from 1 species
AUUCCAGUCAGAGAAUCCGCUUACCUCAUUGUGUUUGCAGAAAUUUUUUAGAACUGGCAAUAGCAAUGCAUGUCACAAGACUUAAUGAAACUAGGGUUUUUAAAGGCCCCCGAAGGUGGCUACAUGA